rnacentral:rRNA from 1 species
AUUGAACGCUGGCGGCAGGCCUAACACAUGCAAGUCGAGCGAGCGGCGGACGGGUGAGUAAUGUCUGGGAAACUGCCUGCUGGAGGGGGAUAACUACUGGAAACGGUAGCUAAUACCGCAUACCAUCAGAUGUGCCCAGAUGGGAUUAGCUAGUAGGUGGGGUAAUGGCUCACCUAGGCGACGAUCCCUAGCUGGUCUGAGAGGAUGACCAGGCACACUGGAACUGGGACAUGGUCCCGACUCCGACGGGAGGCAGCCGUGGGGAAUAUUGCACAAUGGGGGGAACCCUGAUCCAGCCAAGGCGCGGGUGUGAAGAAGGCCUUAUGGUUGUAAAGCACUUUAAGCGAGGGGGCGUUACUCGCAGAAUAAGCACCGGCUAACUCCGUGCCAGCAGCCGCGGUAAUUC